GGGCCCGCACAAGCGGUGGAGUAUGUGGUUUAAUUCGAUGCAACGCGAAGAAGCCUUACCAGGGUUUGACAUCCUGCGAAUUCUGGUAAGCAGAGGCAUCGGAGCCUGCGGAGAUGUAGCAGUGCUGACGGUAUGGGCUGCAUCGGCUGCAUGCCGUUCAGGCUUCGGUUGCUGUCGAUGGAGAUUGGUUUGGGGGUUUAAAGGUCCCCGCAACGAGCGCAACCCACGUCUUUAGUUGCCAGCAUUAGUUGGGCCACUCUAGAGAGACCGCCGGUGAUAAACCGGAGAAGGUGUGGAUGACGUCAAGUCAUCAUGCCCCUUACAUCUGGGCUACACACGUACUACAAAUGCUACGGACAAAGGGCUAGCAAGUUCGCGAGGACAAGCAAAUCCCAAUAAACGUGGCUC
rnacentral:rRNA from 1 species